UACGUAGGGUGCAGGCGUUAAUCGGAAUUACUGGGCGUAAAGCGUGCGCAGGCGGUUUGCUAAGACAGGUGUGAAAUCCCCGGGCUUAACCUGGGAACUGCGCUUGUAACUGGCAAGCUAGAGUGUGGCAGAGGGGGGUGGAAUUCCACGUGUAGCAGUGAAAUGCGUAGAGAUGUGGAGGAACACCGAUGGCGAAGGCAGCCCCCUGGGCCGACACUGACGCUCAGGCACGAAAGCGUGGGGAGCAAACAGG
rnacentral:rRNA from 1 species